GCUUGCUUCCACGACACACGUACUAAAAUUGGGACGAUACAGAGGAUGAGCAUGGUCCCUGUGCAAGGAUGACACUCAAAUGCAUGAAGCAUUCCAUAUUUAA